rnacentral:rRNA from 1 species
AUUGAACGCUGGCGGCAGGCUUAACACAUGCAAGUCGAGCGGAGCGGCGGACGGGUGAGUAAUGCUUAGGACUCUGCCUAUUAGUGGGGGACAACAUCACGAAAGGGAUGCUAAUAACGCAUACUAAUGGAUGAGCCUAAGUUGGAGUAGCUAGUUGGGGGGGUAAAGGCCUACCAAGGCGACGAUCUGUAGCGGUUCUGAGCGGAUGAUCCGCCACACUGGGACGGAGAAUCGUCCCAGACUCCUGCGGGAGGCAGCAGUGGGGAAUAUUAGCCAAUGGGGGGAACCGGGAUCCAGCCAGGCCGCGUGUGUGAAGAAGGCCUUAUGGUUGUAAAGCACUUUAAGCGAGGAGGCGUUACUCGCAGAAUAAGCACCGGCUAACUCUGUGCCAGCCGCCGCGGUAAUUC